UUAAUUGAAACCAAAAAAGAGGUAUACCAUUGUUAAUGGUACCAUUGGUCCCCCCCCCAAUUAAG
rnacentral:tRNA from 1 species